rnacentral:sRNA from 1 species
GACCACCCCGCAACGGGUUGAGGCCAUACGGACAGCCGGGUCGAAUGCCGA